UUACGGUCAUAUCAUAUUGAAACACCAGUUCUCGUACGAUCCCCGAGGUUAAGCAACGUCGAACGUGGUCAGUACCAAGAUGGAUGACCGCUUGUGAAUACCAGGCAUUGUAAG